rnacentral:rRNA from 1 species
CACGUAGGCGGCGAUUUAAGUCAGAGGUGAAAGCCCGGGGCUCAACCCCGGAACUGCCUUUGAGACUGGAUUGCUUGAAUCCUGGAGAGGUGAGUGGAAUUCCGAGUGUAGAGGUGAAAUUCGUAGAUAUUCGGAAGAACACCAGUGGCGAAGGCGACACACUGGCUCAUUACUGACGCUGAGGCUCGAAAGCGUGGGGAGCAAACA